AAAGAAAGUAAGCAAGGGCGCAUGGCGGAUGCCUUGGCUCUCGGAGGCGAUGAAGGACGUGAUAAGCUGCGAUAAGCUCUGGGUAGGUGCAAAUAACCUUUGAUCCAGAGAUUUCCGAAUGGGACAACCCGGCAUUCUGAAGGAAUGUCAUCCAUCCUUGAUGGAAGCUAACGCAGGGAACUGAAACAUCUUAGUACCUGUAGGAAAAGAAAAUAAUAAUGAUUCCCCUAGUAGUGGCGAGCGAACGGGGAACAGCCCAAACCACCCAUGUUACGGCAUGUGUGGGGUUGUAGGACCACGAUAUCGCAAGACAUCUGAUGAAUAGAAUCCUCUGGAAAGUGGAACCAUAGACGGUGAUAGUCCUGUAUAUGAAGUCAGAUUAAGCGUAGUGGUAUCCUGAGUAGCGCGGGACACGAGAAAUCUUGCGUGAAUCUGCCGGGACCAUCCGGUAAGGCUAAAUACUCCCGAGAGACCGAUAGCGAACCAGUACUGUGAAGGAAAGGUGAAAAGCACUUCGAACAGAAGAGUGAAAUAGUCCCUGAAACCGUGCGCCUACAAGCGGUCGGAGCUGCGUAAGCAGUGACGGCGUGCCUUUUGCAUAAUGAACCUACGAGUUACUUUUUCCGGCAAGGUUAAGCAUCUUGAGAUGUGCAGCCGAAGCGAAAGCGAGUCUGAACAGGGCGUCGAGUCGGAAGGAGUAGACGCGAAACCAAGUGAUCUACCCUUGGUCAGGUUGAAGGUUAGGUAACACUAACUGGAGGACCGAACCGAUAAGCGUUGAAAAGCUUCCGGAUGAACUGAGGGUGGGGGUGAAAGGCUAAUCAAACUUGGAGAUAGCUCGUACUCCCCGAAAUGCAUUUAGGUGCAGCCUUGUGAGUUACUAAUGUGAGGUAGAGCGACUGAUAAGAUGCGAGGGCUUCACCGCCUAUCAAGUCUUGAUAAACUCCGAAUGCGCAUUAGUUCUAUCACAGGAGUGAGGGCAUGGGUGCUAAGGUCCAUGUCCUAAAGGAGAAGAAUCCAGACCAUCAGCUAAGGUCCCGAAAUAAACACUAAGUUGAACUAACGAAGUCAGAUUGCUAAGACAGCUAGGAUGUUGGCUUGGAAGCAGCCAUUCAUUUAAAGAGUGCGUAACAGCUCACUAGUCGAGGAGUUUGGCGUGGAUAAUAAUCGGGCAUCAAGUGUUUUACCGAAGCUAUGGGAUCAGUAAUGAUCGGUAGGGGAGCAUUCCACUCUGCGUCGAAGGUGAAGCGUGAGCUUUGCUGGAGCGUGUGGAAAAGCAAAUGUAGGUAUAAGUAACGAUAAAGGGGGUGAGAAACCCCCUCGCCGAAAGACUAAGGUUUCCUGAUCAACGCUAAUCGGAUCAGGGUUAGUCGGGUCCUAAGGCUCAGCCGAACGGUGAGGCCGAUGGCAGAACAGGUUAAUAUUCCUGUACUACCUUAAGGAGUGACGUGGAGACGGAGGCGUGACAGCGCCGCGGACUGACGGAAUAGUCCGUUGAAGGGUGUAGAUGUUGAUUAUCCCAGGCAAAUCCGGGAUAAGAGUCGAACCUGAUAGUAUGGAACGUUCUUCGGAACAAUCCAAUAGUGCGUGUAAUCAUACUCCCAAGAAAAUCCGCUAAACUUAAUCCUUAAGGUACCCGUACCGCAAACGGACACACGUAGUCGGGUUGAAUAUACUAAGGCGCUUGAGUGAUUCACGGUUAAGGAACUAGGCAAAUUGACCCUGUAACUUCGGGAUAAAGGGUCCCAACGAGAGUUGGGCGCAGAGAAUAGGUCCAGGCAACUGUUUAACAAAAACACAGGGCUGUGCGAAAUUGAAAGAUAAUGUAUACAGCCUGACACCUGCCCGGUGCUGGAAGGUUAAGAGGAGAUGUCAUCGCAAGAGAAGCAUUGAAUUGAAGCCCCAGUAAACGGCGGCCGUAACUAUAACGGUCCUAAGGUAGCGAAAUUCCUUGUCGGGUAAGUUC
rnacentral:rRNA from 1 species